UACGUAGGCAGCAAGCGUUGCUCGGAAUCACUGGGCGUAAAGGGUGCGUAGGCGGGUCUUUAAGUCAGGGGUGAAAUCCUGGAGCUCAACUCCAGAACUGCCUUUGAUACUGAGGAUCUUGAGUUCGGGAGAGGUGAGUGGAACUGCGAGUGUAGAGGUGAAAUUCGUAGAUAUUCGCAAGAACACCAGUGGCGAAGGCGGCUCACUGGCCCGAUACUGACGCUGAGGCACGAAAGCGUGGGGAGCAACAGGG
rnacentral:rRNA from 1 species